rnacentral:rRNA from 1 species
CCCGCUGAACUUAAGCAUAUCAGUAAGCGGAGGAAAAGAAACUAACGAGGAUUCCCCUAGUAACGGCGAGUGAAGCGGGAACAGCCCAUGACGAACUUGACGCGAGUCUAGAAUGUGUCGUGGAGCGGGGCUCGGUGCAGAGCGCGCGUCGCAGGUCCCCUGGAAAGGGGCGGCAGAGAGGGUGAGACCCCCGUGGCGACGUGCGCAGCGGCACAGCGAGCCUUGCAGCGAGUCGGAUUGUUUGGGAAUGCAAUCCCAAGCAGGUGGUACGCGCCAUCUAAGGCUAAACAGCGGCAAGAGACCGAUAGCAAACAAGUACCGUGAGGGAAAGAUGAAAAGGACUCUGAAGAGAGAGUCAAAAGUGCGUGAAAUUGCGCGGAGGGAAACGAAGGCGUGCUCUUUGCGUGACCGGCAUCUGCAUGCGGCGCAAGAAACGGCGUGGGAGGUGCCACGUGGCAACACGAGGACGUACAGCCAGGCCGAAUUGCGCGGGCGGGCACCCGGCACAGAGCGCGUCUUUGACCCGUCUUGAAACACGG